rnacentral:lncRNA from 1 species
UUUAAGUCUGGGGGGAGGUUUACUGAUAUUAGUUUAUUCAUGAAUUUUAAAAAUAUUUUCGAACAUAAAGUUUUUAUUGAGGCAAGAAAGAGAUAAUGAACUUAUUAGAUCUUUGCUUGUUAUCUAACCACUCUUUAGCAUCAUUCUAGAACUUAUUGAUUGCAGAUAGUACUAAAGAUACUAAAGUGGAUCAACCUGUCAACUAUGUUACACUUGCUGAGAUUGUUUGAAGGAACCAAAGCUGACCUCCAACCCUAAACUUGACACAACUGCUUGUCUUGGGGCUUGGUAUACAUGGGAUCGGAUUCUUCAAACAAGUCCGGAAGGUAAACCCUUGUGUAUAUAGAUUUAUCACCCUCUCUCUCUCUAUUUUCGAAAUAUAGAUAUUAAAAAAAAUAUUAUUAUAUAUAUAUAUAUAUAACUAUUAGAGAUUUAUUAGGAAGAGAUUCAAACAUGACUUGGUGGCUACAACCAUUAAGGCUUGCUUCAUACGAAUUCUAUAGGUAAAGGAUUAG